AUGGUAGGAUAGAGGCCUACCAUGGUGGUAACGGGUAACGGGGUGUUAGGGCACGACACCGGAGAGGGAGCCUGAGAAACGGCUACCACAUCCAAGGAAGGCAGCAGGCGCGCAAAUUACCCAAUUCCGACACGGGGAGGUAGUGACAAUAAAUAACAAUACAGGGUUCUUUGAAUCUUGUAAUUGGAAUGAGUACAAUUUAAAUCUCUUAACGAGGAACAAUUGGAGGGCAAGUCUGGUGCCAGCAGCCGCGGUAAUUCCAGCUCCAAUAGCGUAUAUUAAAGUUGUUGCAGUUAAAAAGCUCGUAGUUGAAUUUCGGGAUCAAUACGUCGGUCGUGCUUUCGGGUACGUACUGGCGUCAUUGGUUUCUCCUUUCUGACGAACCAUGAUGUCAUUAAUUUGGUGUUAUGGGGAGUUAGGACUGUUACUUUGAAAAAAUUAGAGUGUUUAAAGCAGGCAUUAGCUUGAAUACAUUAGCAUGGAAUAAUGAAAUAGGACGUUCGAUCCUAUUUUGUUGGUUUCUAGGAUCAACGUAAUGAUUAAUAGGGAUAGUUGGGGGCAUUAGUAUUCAAUUGUCAGAGGUGAAAUUCUUGGAUUUAUUGAAGACUAACUACUGCGAAAGCAUUUGCCAAGGAUGUUUUCAUUAAUCAAGAACGAAAGUUAGGGGAUCGAAGACGAUCAGAUACCGUCGUAGUCUUAACCAUAAACUAUGCCGACUAGGGAUCGGAUGAUGUUAAUUUUUUAAUGACUCAUUCGGCGCCUUACGGGAAACCAAAGUGUUUGGG
rnacentral:rRNA from 1 species